AUAGAAUAGAACAGGUGAGAAUAGAAUAGAACAGGUGAGAAUAGAAUAGAACAGGUGAGAAUAGAAUAGAACAGAUAGAACAGAAUAGAAAUGGUGAGAAUAGAAUAGAACAGGUGAGAAUAGAAUAGAACAGGUGAGAAUAGAAUAGAACAGGUGGGAAUAGAAUAGAACAGGUGAGAAUAGAAUAGAACAGGUGGGAAUAGAAUAGAACAGGUGAGAAUAGAAUAGAACAGGUGGGAAUAGAAUAGAACAGGUGAGAAUAGAAUAGAACAGGUGAGAAUAGAAUAGAACAGGUGAGAAUAGAAUAGAACAGGUGAGAAUAGAAUAGAAC
rnacentral:lncRNA from 1 species